rnacentral:lncRNA from 1 species
GUGACAGUGGCCCAGCUGGACUGGGAUGUAGCGACGGUCCAUCAGCUCUCUGCCUUCCAGCCAGAUGUUGUCAUUACAGCAGUAACCUGAAGCUUUCACCGUAGACGUGCUGUAUUGCCCAGAAGCCAUCGUGUCCCUGGUCGGGGUCCUGCGGAGGCUGGCUGCCUGCUGGGAGCACCAGCGGGCUCCUGAGGUCUACAUGGCCUUUACCGUCCGCAACCCAGAGACGUGCCAGGUGUUCACCACCGAGCUAGGCUGGGCUGGGAUCAGAUGGGAAGCGGAAGCUCAUCAUGACCAGAAACUGUUUCCCUAUGGAGAGCACUUGGAGAUGGCAAUGCUGAACCUCACACUGUAGGACUCAUACACGACUCCAACGGGAUUGUUAGAAUCAAAUCACUCUCGUGGGAAGAAUUUUUAUAUGGGAAAGCGGAUAAAACUUUCAUUGGACUGGAAUGUUUGGAGAAUGUUAAAUUCCAAAUCAGGAACCACAAUCUGCCCUCUAAUAAGACAUCGGCUAUCUA